rnacentral:rRNA from 1 species
AACGAACGCCGGCGGCAGGCCUAACACAUGCAAGUCGAGCGAACCCUUCGGGGUUAGCGGCGGACGGGUGAGUAACGCGUGGGAAUAUGCCCUUUGCUACGGAAUAGCCCCGGGAAACUGGGAGUAAUACCGUAUGUGCCCUUCGGGGGAAAGAUUUAUCGGCAAAGGAUUAGCCCGCGUUGGAUUAGGUAGUUGGUGGGGUAAUGGCCUACCAAGCCUACGAUCCAUAGCUGGUUUGAGAGGAUGAUCAGCCACACUGGGACUGAGACACGGCCCAGACUCCUACGGGAGGCAGCAGUGGGGAAUUUUAGACAAUGGGGGCAACCCUGAUCUAGCCAUGCCGCGUGAUCGAUGAAGGCCUUAGGGUUGUAAAGAUCUUUCAGCUGGGAAGAUAAUGACGGUACCAGCAGAAGAAGCCCCGGCUAACUCCGUGCCAGCAGCCGCAGUAACAC